CACCACUCCAGCCUGGCUGGGUAUUGGGCGUCGCGGCUCCGCGCGCCUCAAAGUCUUCCGGCUGAGCUGUCCGUCUCUAAGCGUUGUGGCAACUAUUCGCUUCGGAGGUCGGGCGGCUACGGCCGUUAAAUCUUUCACCA
rnacentral:misc_RNA from 1 species